AACGAACGCUGGCGGCAGGCCUAACACAUGCAAGUCGAGCGCGCCCUCCGGGGUGAGCGGCGGACGGGUGAGUAACGCCUGGGAACGUGCCCUUCUCUGCGGAAUAGCCUCGGGAAACUGAGACUCAUACAGCAUACGCCCUUUGGGGGAACGAUUUUUCGGCGCAGGAUCGGGCCGCGUUGGGUUAGUUAGUUGGUGGGGUACUGGCCCACCAAGGCGAGGAUCCAUAGCUGGUUGGGGAGGAUGACCAACCACGCUGGAGCUAAGACACGGCCCAGACCCGUACGGAAGGGAGCGGUGGAGAAUCUUAGACAAGGGAGGCAAAUGUGAUGUAGCCAUGUCGGGUGAGUGAUGAAGGCCGUAGGGUUGUACAGCCCGUUCAGCUGGGGAGAUAAUGACGGUACCAGCAGAAGAAGCCCCGGCUAACUCCGUG
rnacentral:rRNA from 1 species